GACGAACGCUGGCGGCGUGCCUAAUACAUGCAAGUCGAACGCAGUGGGGACGGGUGAGUAAAACGUGGGUAACCUCCCAUCAGAGGGGAUAACACUUGGAAACAGGUGCUAAACCGAUAUUGAUGGAUGGACCCGCGGUGCAUUAGCUAGGUGGUGAGGGAACGGCUCACCAAGGCCACGAUGCAUAGCCGACCUGUGAGUGGUGUCCCCCCCACUGCGACUGAGACACAGCCCAGACUCCUUCAACAUCACCACUUACAUAAUCUUCGGCAAUGUACGAAAGUCUGACCCAGCAACGCCGCGUGAGUGAAGAAUUUUUUCGGAUCUUAAAACUCUGUUGUUAGAGAAGCGGUAUCUAACCAGAGAGCCACGGCUAACUACGUGCCAGCAGCCGCGGUAAUAC
rnacentral:rRNA from 1 species